UACGGGGGGGGCAAGCGUUGUUCGGAAUUACUGGGCGUAAAGGGCUCGUAGGCGGCCAACUAAGUCAAACGUGAAAUCCCUCGGCUUAACCGGGGAACUGCGCUGAUACUGGAUGGCUUGAGAUUGGGAGAGGGAUGCGGAAUUCCAGGUGUAGCGGUGAAAUGCGUAGAUAUCAGGAGGAACACCAAUGGCGAAGGCAGCUCGCUGGGACGGUACUGACGCUGAGAGACGAAAGCUAGGGGAGCGAAUGGG
rnacentral:rRNA from 1 species